GACGAACGCUGGCGGCGUGCUUAACACAUGCAAGUCGAACGGAAAGGCGCUGCUUUUGUGGGGUGCUCGAGUGGCGAACGGGUGAGUAACACGUGAGUAACAUGCCCUUGAAUUUGGGAUAACUUCAGGAAACUGGGGCUAAUAUCGGAUAGGAGCUCCUGCUGCACGGUGGGGGUUGGAAAGUUUCGGCGGUUGGGGAUGGACUCGCGGCUUAUCAGCUUGUUGGUGGGGUAGUGGCUUACCAAGGCUUUGACGGGUAGCCGGCCUGGGAGGGUGACCGGCCACAUUGGGACUGAGAUACGGCCCAGACUCCUACGGGAGGCAGCAGUGGGGAAUAUUGCACAAUGGCCGGAAGCCUGAUGCAGCAACGCCGCGUGCGGGAUGACGGCCUUCGGGUUGUAAACCGCUUUCGCCUGUGACGAAGCGUGAGUGACGGUAAUGGGUAAAGAAGCACCGGCUAACUACGUG
rnacentral:rRNA from 1 species